rnacentral:tRNA from 1 species
UGGUGUGUGGCUCAGUGGUAGAACUCUUGCCUAGGAUGCAAGUGGCUCUGAGUUCCAUCCCCAGCACUGCGA